GCGGCUCUAUCCCAGCUGGCAAGAGGAACCGUUCUCAGGAAACGGAAGAGCCGGGUUCGAAUCCCGGGAGCCGCACCA
rnacentral:tRNA from 2 species